rnacentral:rRNA from 1 species
ACCGGGGAUGCCUUAGUACGGCGAGUGAAGCGGCAAAAGCUCAAAUUUGAAAUCUGGUACCUUCGGUGCCCGAGUUGUAAUUUGGAGAGGGCAACUUUGGGGCCGUUCCUUGUCUAUGUUCCUUGGAACAGGACGUCAUAGAGGGUGAGAAUCCCGUGUGGCGAGGAGUGCGGUUCUUUGUAAAGUGCCUUCGAAGAGUCGAGUUGUUUGGGAAUGCAGCUCUAAGUGGGUGGUAAAUUCCAUCUAAAGCUAAAUAUUGGCGAGAGACCGAUAGCGAACAAGUACAGUGAUGGAAAGAUGAAAAGAACUUUGAAAAGAGAGUGAAAAAGUACGUGAAAUUGUUGAAAGGGAAGGGCAUUUGAUCAGACAUGGUGUUUUGUGCCCUCUGCUCCUUGUGGGUAGGGGAAUCUCGCAUUUCACUGGGCCAGCAUCAGUUUUGGUGGCAGGAUAAAUCCAUAGGAAUGUAGCUUGCCUCGGUAAGUAUUAUAGCCUGUGGGAAUACUGCCAGCUGGGACUGAGGACUGCGACGUAUGUCAAGGAUGCUGGCAUAAUGGUUAUAUAGCCGCCCGUCUUGAACCACGGACCAA